UUUCUGUAGAAAGUGUGUCUUUCUUUUUUCUGCUUUUGUUUCAACAUCUUUUAGAAUAAGGCUUCCCCAGGGUCCCUCAAAGAAGGUUGAAGAUGUUUUGAAUUGGCAUAAAGCAAGAAGACAGCAUUGAUACAAAGGAACAGGUGGCUGGAGGAAGGUAGAGAGAAGCCGUGCGUGCCAAGAUGUAAUUGCCGUCACCAUCAAUGAUCCCCAUGUGCCCCAGCUGCUUAAUCCAGUACAACUGGUACCAUUAUAAGAAGAGGAGACACACAAACACACAGACAGAAGACAACCAUGUGCAUCAGAAGUAGAGACUGGAGGAUGUGUCUAUAAGGCAAGGAGCCCUAGGGACUGCUGGCAACACCAGAAGCUGGAAGAGGGAAGGAAGUAUUCUUCUCUGGAGUUUUC
rnacentral:lncRNA from 1 species